UAAGUGACGUAGAAGAAGAGUAAGUAGUCUAGUGGCUAUUUUCAGAGAGCUGAUGGUUGGUGAGAAUCAGUAGUAAAAGCUAGGUGAAUGGGCUUCUGAGUCCUGUACUGAAAGCAGUUUGCGAGUAGGUGGCAGCGUGUAUGUCUUGUCGUUAUCCAAGACACCAUUCAAUGAUUGGAUGGAUAAAGUGAAUUGGUAUUUUACCAAUUAAUUAAGGUGGCAACGCGGAGCUUUCGUCCUUGUU
rnacentral:ncRNA from 1 species